AGAAAUCCAAUGACUUGUCAGCCAGAGUAACGGCUGUUGUCAGGUCUUCAGGGUCUCGAGGUUAUAGUGCCAUCAUGUGGAUACUUUGUUUUCUUCAAAUAAAAUGUAACCUUUUUAUAACAGAGACUAGAAAACCCAGCCAUCCCAACACCCAGGUAGACAUGAUCGCCAAGGCAGCUGAUUGUCCCAAGGAAUAAGUAUGAGCAAUGAGCACAGAGGGAAAAUCAUGAAACAUCUGAGGACCAUGAGAACUGCUAAAACAAUACGUAGAACUAGCUAUACCAGAGAAAGUCAAGUGAAUGGAUCAGACAAUAAGAAUUGAAAAUAAGCUUAAUAGAGCUUCAGAGAAAGAAGGGAGAAUGUUGGAAACACAAAGCACAAACAAGCAUUUGUGAAUUGGAUGUUGACAAAUAUUAAUGAAAUAACUCAAUGGAUGGGUUGAAUAUAGCUGGACAGUUCACUCAUGAACCGGAAGAUUAGAGCAAGGAAGGAACUAAGAAAUGGAAAGCAUGAAAGGAGAGUUAAGAAAUGUGGAAGGUAGAAGCAUAAAUAUUUUUCUAAUGGAAAUUCCAGAAGGGGAAAAAAAGAACAUGUGAAAGAAUUAUUGCUGAGAAUUUCCCAGAAUUGAAGACAUACUUUAGAAUGAAAAAGGCCAACUCUAACUUUGGGAUUUCUAGCUUCAGAGAAAUGAAAAUUUAGAAUGACCAAGGGGAGUGCACAGGAUUUUUUGGGCAGUGAAACUAUUCUGCAUGAUACUAUAAUGGUGGAUGCAUGCUAUUACACAUUUGUCAAAACCCAUUGAAUGUACAUCACUGAGAAUGAAGCCUAAUGUAUGCACUUUGGAUGAUUAUGAUGUGUCAAUGUAGGUUCAUCAGUUCUAACAAGUAGAACAUGCUGGUGCAGGAUGUUGAUAGGGAGGCUGUGCAUAUAUGGGGGAGGGGAUGAAAGGAACUGUGUACUUUCUGCUCGUUUUUGCUGUGCACCUAAAAUUGUUCUGAAAAAAAUCAAGUCUAUUAAGAAAACAAAGACAGUUUUUUAAAGCAUAAGAGCAUACUUGUUAUAAAAAUACAUGUAAUGCAGUGUAAUUUUAGAAUUCAAGGUCACAUAUUUCUGUAACACUUUUAUUCUUUCAUGCCUACAACUUUCAUGGAAUGGUCCAGUCAAAUAGGUUCCACAUAAUAGGAACCUUCAGUAAUACACCACUCACAUGUAGCAGAAGGACUUUAAAACAGUAUAUUCCCAACUCUUCUAUUCAUUGUGCCAAUGUUGCCAUAUAUUUCACUUUUACAAAUGCUGUAAACAUACAAUACUUGUGCUAUUUUUGCUUUCGAUAGUUGCCUUUUACAGCAGUUAAAAAAAAAAAAAAAGCCAGUUGCAGUGACUCACGCCUGUAAUUCCAACACUUUGUGAGGCUGAGGCAGGAGAAUUGCUUGAGCUCAGGAGUUCAAGACCAGACUGGGAAACAUAGUGAGACCUUGUCUCUACAAAAAAUAAAAUGCCAGGCAUGGUGGCACUCAUCUAUAGUCCCAAUACUCGAGAGCUGAGGUGGGAGGAUUGAGCCUGUGAGAUAGACUAGGCUGCAGUGAGCCAAGAUCAUACCACUGCACUCCAGCCUGAGCAACAGAGUUGAGUGCUCUGCCAGUCCACACCAGCCUUCGUGAAUUCCGCAAUUCUUCUAGCUAAACAUAUACCAGUAUCUGGUUGUGUCUGUCCCAAGUAAGCUAGUGCCCUUCUCUUCCUGCAGGCAUCUGUUGCUUCUUAGAUUUUGGACCAGUUUUUUGUCCUGGGAACUCAACUCUUCGAUAAAUUCAAAAAUACUCUGUAAUUUGAAGGAAGUUUACCUUUUUUUUCAUUGUAAGGGUGGAAGAAAUGUCUCUUCUGGAUGUUUAUAUCCAAAACAAGCUGGAAAUCAGCCCUGGCUAACUUUUUUUUUUUUUUUGAGACGGAAUCUCACCCUGUCGCCCAGGCUGGAGUGCAGUGGCACAGUCUCGACUCACUGCAACCUCUACCUCCCAGGUUUAAGCGAUUCUCCCACCUCAGCCUCCCGGGUAGCUGGGACUACAGGCGUGCGCCACCACGCCCAGCUAUUCUUUUGUAUUUUUAGUAGAGAUGGGUUUUCACCAGGAUGGUCUCAAUCUCUUGACCUUGUGAUCUGCCUGCAUUGGCCUCCCAAAAUGCUGGGAUUACAGGCUUGAGCCACCAUGCCCAGCCAGAGCAUCUAAUAUUUACUGAGUACUGAACAUUUACUAAAUACUUGACAUAAUGUUUUUUAAAUCCCCCAAAAGUCAUAUUCUUACAUCAUAAAUAAGGAAAAUUUCAGAUUGAAAGGAUUCAAAGAGGGUUAAACGAGAUCACAAAAAAAAGCCACAGCUGGGUACAUUACUGUGAAAUUAAACAUCAUCAGAGAGAAACAAUAGAUAUAGAUCUUUUCAGCUUAUCUAUUUCUUACUAAAAAAGAGUAAGUUUUGUAGUUUAUGCCUUUCAGAGAAUUUCUCUAUUUUGUCUCCAUUGUCAAAUUUAUUGUCAUAAAAUUGUUCAUAAUUUUUUUUUUGAGAUGGAGUCUGGCUCCGUCGCCCAGGCUGGAGUGCAGUGGCAUGAUCUCAGCUUGCUACACAACCUCCACCUCCCAGGUUCAAGGAAUUCUUGUGCCUCAGCCUCCGGAGUAGCUGGGAUUACAGGCGCCUGCCACCACACCUGGCUAAUUUUUGUAUUUUUAGUAGAGACAGAGUUUCAC
rnacentral:lncRNA from 10 species